AACCGGUGUUAAGGACACUUCCGGAAAAGGUCCUUGAAUCACUCCCAAGUCUUAAAUAAGUAUUCAAGCUCCAUUUGAACAAAUGAAGAUAUCUCAUUAUGAAGCUU